rnacentral:rRNA from 1 species
GACGAACGCUGGCGGCGUGCUUAACACAUGCAAGUCGAACGGGUCUGCCCUGUUUUUUGCGGGGUGGGUCAGUGGCGAACGGGUGAGUAACACGUGAGUAACCUGCCCCUCACUUCUGGAUAACCGCUUGAAAGGGUGGCUAAUACGGGGUGUUCUGGCUGUGCCGCAUGGUGUGGCUGGGAAAGAUUCACUUUUGUGGUGUUUUGGUGGGGGAUGGGCUCGCGGCCUAUCAGCUUGUUGGUGGGGUGAUGGCCUGCCAAGGCUUUGACGGGUAGCCGGCCUGGGAGGGUGGGCGGUCACACUGGGACUGAGAUACGGCCCAGACUCCUGCGGGAGGCAGCAGUGGGGGGUAUUGCACAAUGGGCGGAAGCCUGAUGCAGCGACGUCGCGUGAGGGAUGGAGGCCUGCGGGUUGUGAACCUCUUUCGCCGGUGAAGAAGGUCCUGCUCUUUGUGGUGGGGUUGACGGUAGCCGGAUUAUGAAGCGCCGGCUAACUACGUG